rnacentral:rRNA from 1 species
AACUGCCAUCAAAACUUUUUAGCUAGAGUAUGAUAGAGGGAAAGUGGAAUUUCUAGUGUAGAGGUGAAAUUCGUAGAUAUUAGAAAGAACACCAAAAGCGAAGGCAACUUUCUGGAUCAUUACUGACACUGAGGAACGAAAGCAUGGGUAGCGAAGAGGAUUAGAUACCCUCGUAGUCCAUGCCGUAAACGAUGUGUGUUAGACGUUGGAAAUUAAUUUUUAGUGUCGCAGCGAAAGCAAUAAACACACCGCCUGGGGAGUACGACCGCAAGGUUAAACCUCAAAUGAAUUGACGGGGACCCGCACAAGUAGUGGAGCAUGUGGUUUAAUUCGAAGAUACGCGCAGAACCUUACCAACACUUGACAUGUUCGUCGCGACUCUAAGAGAUUAGAGUUUUCGGUUCGGCCGGACGAAACACAGGUGCUGCAUGGCUGUCGUCAGCUCGUGUCGUGAGAUGUUGGGUUAAGUCCCGCAACGAGCGCAACCCUCACUUUUAGUUGCCAUCAUUUAGUUGGGCACUCUGAAAGAACUGCCAGUGAUAAGCUGGAGGAAGGUGGGGAUGACGUCAAGUCCUCAUGGCCCUUACGUGUUGGGCUACACACGUGCUACAAUGGCAUUUACAAUAGGAAGCAAGAUGGUGACGUCAAGCAAAUCCUAAAAAGAUGCCUCAGUUCGGAUUGUACUCUGCAACUCGAGUACAUGAAGCUGGAAUUACUAGUAAUCGCGGAUCAGCGCGCCGCGGUGAAUACGUUCCCGGGUCUUGUACACACCGCCCGUCACACCAUGGGAGUUGGUUCUACCUUAAGGCAAGGUUUAAAACCCUUGACCACGGUAUAGUCAGCGACUGGGGUGAAGUCGUAACAAGGUAACC